rnacentral:rRNA from 1 species
GACGAACGCUGGCGGCGUGCUUAACACAUGCAAGUCGAACGGAAAGGCCCUGCUUUUGUGGGGUGCUCGAGUGGCGAACGGGUGAGUAACACGUGAGUAACCUGCCCUUGACGUUGGGAUAACUUCAGGAAACUGGGGCUAAUACCGGAUAGGAGCUCCUGCUGCAUGGGGGGGGUUGGAAAGUUUCGGCGGUUGGGGAUGGACUCGCGGCUUAUCAGCUUGUUGGGGGGGUAGUGGCUUACCAAGGCUUUGACGGGUAGCCGGCCUGAGAGGGUGACCGGCCACAUUGGGACUGCGAUACGGCCCAGACUCCUACGUGAGGCAGCAGUGGGGAAUAUUGCACAAUGGGCGGAAGCCUGAUGCAGCAGCGCCGCGUGCGGGAUGACGGCCUUCGGGUUGUAAACCGCUUUCGCCUGUGACGAAGCGUGAGUGACGGUAAUGGGUAAAGAAGCACCGGCUAACUACGUG